rnacentral:rRNA from 1 species
GAGUAAUGUCUGGGAAACUGCCUGAUGGAGGGGGAUAACUACUGGAAACGGUGGCUAAUACCGCAUAACGUCGCAAGACCAAAGAGGGGGACCUUCGGGCCUCUUGCCAUCAGAUGUGCCCAGAUGGGAUUAGCUUGUUGGUGAGGUAACGGCUCACCAAGGCGACGAUCCCUAGCUGGUCUGAGAGGAUGACCAGCCACACUGGAACUGAGACACGGUCCAGACUCCUACGGGAGGCAGCAGUGGGGAAUAUUGCACAAUGGGCGCAAGCCUGAUGCAGCCAUGCCGCGUGUAUGAAGAAGGCCUUCGGGUUGUAAAGUACUUUCAGCGGGGAGGAAGGUGUUGUGGUUAAUAACCGCAGCAAUUGACGUUACCCGCAGAAGAAGCACCGGCUAACUCCGUGCCAGCAGCCGCGGUAAUACGGAGGGUGCAAGCGUUAAUCGGAAUUACUGGGCGUAAAGCGCACGCAGGCGGUCUGUCAAGUCGGAUGUGAAAUCCCCGGGCUCAACCUGGGAACUGCAUUCGAAACUGGCAGGCUUGAGUCUU